ACCCGGCUAAUUGACCAUGGCCAAGUUAUUUUCUAAUUUAAUGUGACCACGUUAUAGAACAUAUGAAAAGAAACUCUCAUAUGAAACCAACACUCAGACACAAUUUAACUUGGGUAUAAUUCUUCCUGGUCUUUUAAAAAAUCCUCAUUUUUUUAUUUCAAAGUAAACAAUUUAAUUUUAAAACAUAGUACAGCAUUCAUGGGCCCCUGUAAAGUAUAGUGAUUUAUUGAUGAAGCUUUAGAAUAAUAAGUAGAGAAGUACUUACAUAUUUGCUUAUUGUUCAAUAAGUGCACCAUAUUUUCCUGCUCAGGUCCAUGAAUUCUCAAUGCAUCCUUUCUGGCUAAUAUCAUAUCCCACCCUGAGAAAAAAGAAUCAACACUGUUACUACUUUAAAUGCCAUAGCUCUUGGGAAUUUGUUUGUGUUGAAACAAUACAGGUUAUCUUGGCUAUGCAGUUCCCUAGUGCUAAUUAUUUAAUGCUGGUUACCUUAUUACUCCUGACUGUGCAUCAUACAGUGACUUCCAAUGACACUGUCAAAGAUUGUUACCGUGCUUCAUUGAUGAUAAAGACAAAUGCAAGUCUUAACCAGAGUAUGCAGGAAGAUAUGAACCCUAAUUCAUUUUCUAGUCAUGUUAAAUUUGCCAUUUGAAAUUUUAUCACAUAAAGGUGGAACAACACAUUUUCCAACAGCGCCUUCUCUUGAGCUCUUUAAGCCAUAAUCACUGUUGACCACCCCGCUACCUUACACAUACUGCCAGGAGAAAGAAGGAUAAACCAGGGGCCCAUGGGCAAAGUCAGAGUGGCAGCCCCGUUCACACAAGAAAUGUCUGUCCCUUCUUGGCACGACUUGAGGCCGGCCUGGGAGGACACGAUGUGGCCACACGAUCAGAGGGACUUUUUGAGGCUGAGUUUUAAGAGAUGUAUAUGAUAUCCCCUAUAAGGUGACACUGUACGACACGCAAUGAAGGAGGUAGCUGUGUGUCCGCAGUUGGUUCCUGCCGAUGGGUUCAUGGUCUCGCUGACUUCAAGAAUGAAGCCGUGGACCUUCGCGAUGAGUGUCACAGCUCUUAAAGAAUGUGGAAAUGUAAAUCUGCUCUGUAUAAGACUGGAUUCAGUUUACAAAAAUAAGCCUGAAACCUUUGGACUCAGGGGGCCCAGGUGGAGAGAUUCUUUCUGUUCGUUAUCUGUCCUCCUGCCUCCAGCCUGUGCCAUAGACUCCAAAUGGAUAAAAGCUCUGUAUAGAGAGGUUGUAUUACCAUGGAGUACAAUAUAUGUCAGAUUUGGGUAGAAGUGAACACAGUGGAGGAUAAUAAAGAGAGAGCUGAGUUCUGUCUCAGUGAGUACAACAAAAGUCAGAUGAACUCGUCCGAGGGCAAAAGUGGACCCCAAAGGCUUGUUCCUGCGGACUUUGCUGGUUGACUGCUCUUUGCAUUAAUCUGGAAUCAUGGCGCACCAUUCCUCUUUUCAUGUUGUGAUAUUCUCUUCACAUUCUCUUCCUUGCUCCUCAAUGCCAAAUGUGUGAAUUUUCAGAAACAAAAUAUUAGGAAUUUAAAGUGAGAAUACUGUAGCAACCUGUGAGAUGCACAGAAAAUCAUAAACUGUUGAAAAACUGGGAUUGGGAUUGAUUGCUGGAGGCAUAAAUUUUGUGUGUACAUCCAAAAAAUAAUGCCAUGCUCUGAGACUUAGAAUAUAGUCAUCUUGUGUGAAUUUAUGAAUUAUAUUGAGUAGAAAAUAUAUAUAUAGUUAUUUGACAUUAAGAGACAAUGAAUACAUAAGUGUUGACCAGCCUGGCCAACACAGUGAAACCCGUCUCUACCAAAAAUACAAGAAUUGGCCAGGCGUGGUGGUGGGUGCCUCUAAGGCCAGCUA